CAAAAUUACCACUUCUACCAUGUGAAGUCUUUGAAAUGUUGGGUUUGUGUGUUUGCUUGCUUUUUUGUGGUACUGAGGAUGGUACCCAGGGCCUCACACAUGCUAGGGAAGUGCUCUACCACUGAGCUACAUCCCAAUCCCACAUACUUUAUUUUUUAAAAGUAUUUUAAAAGAUGUCUUUUAAAAAGAGGUCUUCAUAUAAAAUACAAGGUUGUAAACACUUAACACUGUCCCAACACUGCUUUUCUAAAUGUAGAAAUGAAGCCUGAGAGGAGAAGAGACUGUACAAGGCCAUUUGGUUGGUUUAGUAGCAGAUUCUGGGCCUGGUGCCAGGGCUCUAGGUGUCUGCCAUUGCCAAGUUGCUAGGAACAGGCCUGGCUGUCCAGCUGCACAGCUGCACCUUCCUGAGACCAGGCUUCUUUGGAACACCAGCCUGCGGCUGCUGCUGGUGCUUUAUUCACCCUUACCUUUUGAGUUAGGUCUUCCCUGAGUAGCUUUCAUUCUUCCCUGCAGCUCUCUCCUUCCAGCUAGUCAGAAAACAGUACCCACACUGGGAUCACUCUUUUAGAAUGUGUCUUCGUGAUGGAUCUGGGGAUUGGAGGAUGUCACCUGCUAGGCUAUGACCUUUUCCAGCCUCAACUCUGUCUCCUGUCAAAACUGCCUACCUCCUGCCCUUACGUUUGACUUGCUCCUGAUCCCACCUCCCUACCCUGGUUCCUGGCCCUGUGGCUUGGUCCGAUCUUGACAUCUGCUAUGUGUAUCCAGUGUUGGAACUGCCUGUUUAGCCAGAUGUGGAGCCAUCCACUCUGUAGGAAGCCCCUGGUGGCAGGUGGCAGGGCUCAGACUUUCCUCUCCCCACCCUCCUUAGCACCCAAAUGGGGGCCUGGCCCUGCAACCCUUUCUGAAGGAUGAAUGACCUACUCUGGGUGUUCCCACUCAUCCUUGUGACUAAUUAGAGCAAAGGGAGAGGGAGGUGUUGAGAGGACAUUUCUGACAAGCUUGUGUGUGUGAAAGAGAUUUCCCUUCUAGACUACUGAGUGAUUCCUAUCUUGUAUUAAGAUCAGAUAUUUAGAUCUGAAAUCAGAGUGUCAUCAACAGAUUUAAGGUGUGAUCUCAGGCCGGAGCAAAGAAAAUUGGUGGUGGGAACCCAGGAAGAACAACAGGAUCAGGCCAAGACUGCUAAGGGAGAGACUUUGUCCUUUUCAUCUUUGCAUCCCCAGCACGCUCAGUAGUAGACACUCAGUGAAUCUUAACUAAAGAGAUGAAUGACAAAUCCCUGUCUGUGUGUUCAACACAAGAGAAAAAGCAAACGUGGAGUAUCAUGAUUGUCUUUAGAAGCAUGGCGGACAUCUUUUCUACUCAUUGGUUGGUUCCCUUAAGCAGAACACACUAAAGAGUUACUUCUAUUACAAAACUGAAAUGGGCAUCCCUUCCCCCUUCCACCACAGUAGUGUGAUGUAAUAAAAAUUUCAGAGAAUUGUAAUUAUCGAGUCUAAAUAUGC
ensembl:lncRNA